UACGUAGGGUGCGAGCGUUGUCCGGAAUUAUUGGGCGUAAAGGGCUCGUAGGCGGUUUGUCGCGUCGGGAGUGAAAUCCACUGGCUUAACUGGUGGCUUGCUUUCGAUACGGGCAGACUGGAGGUAUGCAGGGGAGAACGGAAUUCCUGGUGUAGCGGUGAAAUGCGCAGAUAUCAGGAGGAACACCGGUGGCGAAGGCGGUUCUCUGGGCAUGUCCUGACGCUGAGGAGCGAAAGCGUGGGGAGCGAACAGGAUUAGAACUACCGAGUCAGUC
rnacentral:rRNA from 1 species